AUGAGUGGCAACAACAACGGGCCGGUCCAGCAGUUCUCCAAGAAGGAGAUCGAGGACCUGCUGAGGAAAGGAGCCUACGCCGCCAUCAUGGACGAGAACGACGAAGGCAAUCGCUUCUGCUAGGAGGACAUCGACCAGAUCCUGCAGCGAAGAGCCACCAUCAUCACCAUCACCAGUUUGCUUCAAGCAGUGGCUGUACGAGAAAGACGUGGAGGACCAAGAAAUGCUGGCCAGAUUUGCAAAGACCGGAAGAUACAUAACAGAGAAGAUAAUGGAUAUUAACAAGAAAAAGAAAACAAAUGUUUAUAAUUUCUUUGUUGCUGUUUACAU